rfam:Pseudomonas syringae pv. tomato str. DC3000, complete genome.
CGGCUGAGCUCUGUCGCUGAUCCGGGGGAUGCGAGGCAGGACGCCGAGCAAGCCGCACCGGGCCAAGGAUGGCCCGUUGCGGCGGCCCCCGGAUCAGUGGCAGGGCGAAGGAA